rnacentral:rRNA from 1 species
UACGGAGGGUGCGAGCGUUGUUCGGAAUUACUGGGCGUAAAGAGUGUGUAGGCGGUGCUCCCAGUCUGUUGUGAAAUCUCCCGGCUUAACUGGGAGGGUGCAGCGGAAACUAGAGUGCUAGAGGGUGGGAGAGGUAAGCGGAAUUCCUGGUGUAGCGGUGAAAUGCGUAGAUAUCAGGAGGAACACCUGUGGUGUAGACAGCUUACUGGACCACUUCUGACGCUGAGACACGAAAGCGUGGGUAGCAAACAGG